rnacentral:snRNA from 1 species
AUACUUACCUGGCAGAGGAGAUAACAUGAUCAUAAAGGUGUGUUUCUCAGGGUGAGGCUUCUCCAUUGCACUCAGGAUGUGCUGGCCCAUGUAAUUUCCCUGCAUAAUUUGUGGUGGUGGGAGACUGUGUUUGAGUUCUUUCGUG